rnacentral:tRNA from 1 species
AGUGUAGCUCAGAAGUAGAGCACUUUCCUAGCAUGGAUGAGGUCCUGGGUUCAGUCCCCAGUACU